rnacentral:rRNA from 1 species
UACGUAGGGUGCAAGCGUUGUCCGGAAUUAUUGGGCGUAAAGAGCUUGUAGGCGGUUUGUCGCGUCUGCUGUGAAAUUUCGGGGCUCAACCCCGAACUUGCAGUGGGUACGGGCAGACUAGAGUGUGGUAGGGGAGACUGGAAUUCCUGGUGUAGCGGUGAAAUGCGCAGAUAUCAGGAGGAACACCGGUGGCGAAGGCGGGUCUCUGGGCCGGUACCGACGCUGAGGAGCGAAAGCGUGGGGAGCGAACAGG